rnacentral:rRNA from 1 species
GACGAACGCUGGCGGCGUGCCUAAUACAUGCAAGUCGAACGAGAGCAACCGGUGCUUGCACUGGUCAAUCUAGUGGCGAACGGGUGAGUAACACGUGGGUAACCUGCCCAUCAGAGGGGGAUAACAUCCGGAAACGGAUGCUAAAACCGCAUAGGUCUUCGAACCGCAUGGUUUGAAGAGGAAAAGAGGCGCAAGCUUCUGCUGAUGGAUGGACCCGCGGUGCAUUAGCUAGUUGGUGAGGUAACGGCUCACCAAGGCCGUGAUGCAUAGCCGACCUGAGAGGGUGAUCGGCCACAUUGGGACUGAGACACGGCCCAAACUCCUACGGGAGGCAGCAGUAGGGAAUCUUCCGCAAUGGACGCAAGUCUGACGGAGCAACGCCGCGUGAGUGAAGAAGGUGUUCGGAUCGUAAAACUCUGUUGUUAGAGAAGAACAAGUGCUAGAGUAACUGUUAGCGCCUUGACGGUAUCUAACCAGAAAGCCACGGCUAACUACGUG